GACGUAGGGCGCGAGCGUUGUCCGGAUUUAUUGGGCGUAAAGAGCUCGUAGGCGGUUUGUUGCGUCGGCUGUGAAAUCCCGAGGCUCAACCUCGGGUCUGCAGUCGAUACGAGCAAACUAGAGUGUUGCAGGGGAGACUGGAAUUCCUGGUGUAGCGGUGAAAUGCGCAGAUAUCAGGAGGAACACCGGUGGCGAAGGCGGGUCUCUGGGCAACAACUGACGCUGAGGUGCGAAAGCGUGGGGAGCAAACAGG
rnacentral:rRNA from 1 species